UACGAAGGGGGCUAGCGUUGUUCGGAAUUACUGGGCGUAAAGGCUCGUAGGCGGCCAACUAAGUCAGACGUGAAAUCCCUCGGCUUAACCGGGGAACUGCGUCUGAUACUGGAUGGCUUGAGUUUGGGAGAGGGAUGCGGAAUUCCGGGUGUAGUGGUGGAAUGCGUAGAGAUCCGGAGGAACACCAGUGGCGAAGGCGGCUGCCUGGGCCUGGCCUGACGCUGAGGCGCGAAAGCGUGGGGAGCAAACAGG
rnacentral:rRNA from 1 species